rnacentral:misc_RNA from 1 species
ACACUAAUGAAAUCCAAAACCUUUUGGAUCAACCCAACCUUAGCGAACCGUUCGUUUUUUCCCUUUGCCAUUUUUAUUAAACGCAAACAAAUCUGAUGUAAAGUGUCUGAUUCUUAUUCCCGUUUUCCCUGAAAAGGGUACAGCUGGAAUCAAAAAUCUAACGCAAUA